GGUCUCGUGGCCGAGCGGCUAGGCAGUGCUCUGCAAAAGCAUCUACAGCGGUUCGAAUCCGCUCGAGACCU
rnacentral:tRNA from 1 species